CCCCAGUGGGCUCAGCGGUCUUGCUUCUGCGCCUGCGCAUUGGUGCUCAGACCACACCCGACGCCGUGUGUAGGCGCCGCCGCUAGCCUCAGGGAACCAGUCCUGGAUCCAGCUUCUUGGCCCUGCGGGGCUGCAUGCCGUCAUAGUCAGGUUUCACCCAGAGCUUCUUGGGAAAAAUGAGGCGUCCGAAUUCUAGGAACAAAUUUAUGGUUACUAGGACGUUCUUGGAUGUUUGCAUUUGAGGUUUAGGUGUUACCCGUGGGGAUUAGAACGCAGGUGAAGGCCCUUGGCCAGCAUGGGCUCUGGAAAAUAAUGGUGAAAGUGAAUGAAUUAAUCACUAAAAAUCGGUGCGGAGUCUUACAGCGCAGAGUGAGCAGUGUCGCCGUGACGGGCCGGGAGCAUCCGCAGCAAACGGAGACUGCGCAGCUGCGGGCCACCCUCCCUUCCAAGGUGCCCUCAGGGUUCUCUGGAGUUGUGUUGCAUUUCUGGGACAUACCCUGGGCCCAAUCUUCAAGAGGCUUCAAAUCCUCACCUCUGGCACCUAGAUAUUUUGCCGCUUCCAGACAUCCAGUCAUAAGUGACUGGGGAGGCACUCUCCAACAAAGGUAGUGUUUCUCAGUGAUGCUCUGAAAAAGGUCUGGUUAUUUCACAAGAGAUGUGUGGCAUCCAACUGCUACUUUAUAGGUUAAUUUCCUAUACAGUUUUAAAGCUCCUACCAUGCUUCAUGGGAUCGUCAGUAAAUCCCCAUAUUUGGACAGAAGGACCAAAUGUUCUCAUUUGCAGAGAAGAAAUAAUUGACUAGACCUGAUCCAAUGACUGAUGGGCUCAUUCAAGCUCUUGUUAUUUCUUACUUCCCCAGGUGCUUUUUUCUUCUGACAUAAUACUGUUCAUUUUUAGAUAUGUAAUAGGAUAUGUUAUUCCCAGGAAAGCUUUUCUCUCUGGAUUAGGUUAGGAUAUAGCCUCUUGUACUACUCAACGGGUACUUUUAAUCAAAAUGAGUUCUUUUUUUUUUUUAAUUUUUUUUUUCAACGUUUAUUUAUUUUUGGGACAGAGAGAGACACAGCAUGAACGGGGGAGGGGCAGAGAGAGAGGGAGACACAGAAUCGGAAACAGGCUCCAGGCUCUGAGCCAUCAGCCCAGAGCCCGACGCAGGGCUCGAACUCGCGGACCGCAAGAUCGUGACCUGGCUGAAGUCGGACGCUUAACCGACUGCGCCACCCAGGCGCCCCUCAAAAUGAGUUCUAAUUGCCCCCUUC
rnacentral:lncRNA from 1 species